rnacentral:rRNA from 1 species
UGGGGAAUAUUGCACAAUGGGCGCAAGCCUGAUGCAGCCAUGCCGCGUGUAUGAAGAAGGCCUUCGGGUUGUAAAGUACUUUCAGCGGGGAGGAAGGGAGUAAAGUUAAUACCUUUGCUCAUUGACGUUACCCGCAGAAGAAGCACCGGCUAACUCCGUGCCAGCAGCCGCGGUAAUACGGAGGGUGCAAGCGUUAAUCGGAAUUACUGGGCGUAAAGCGCACGCAGGCGGUUUAUUAAGUCAGAUGUGAAAUCCCCGGGCUCAACCUGGGAUCUGCAUCGGAUACUGGCAAGCUUGAGUCUCGUAGAGGGGGGUAGAAUUCCAGGUGUAGCGGUGAAAUGCGUAGAGAUCUGGAGGAAUACCGGUGGCGAAGGCGGCCCCCUGGACGAAGACUGACGCUCAGGUGCGAAAGCGUGGGGAGCAAACAGG